GACGUAGGGGGCCAGCGUUGUUCGGAAUUACUGGGUGUAAAGGGUUCGUAGGCGGUGUGGCAAGUCGGGAGUGAAAUCUCUGGGCUCAACUCAGAGACUGCUUCCGAAACUGCUGUGCUGGAGUGUGGGAGAGGCGCGUGGAAUUGCAGGUGUAGCGGUGAAAUGCGUAGAUAUCUGCAGGAACACCCGUGGCGAAGGCGGCGCGCUGGACCACUACUGACGCUGAGGAACGAAAGCUAGGGGAGCAAACAGG
rnacentral:rRNA from 1 species